rnacentral:rRNA from 1 species
UGCCAGCAGCCGCGGUAACACGUAGGGGGCGAGCGUUGUCCGGAAUGAUUGGGCGUAAAGCGCGUGCAGGCGGUCCUUUAAGUCUGAUGUAAAAGCCCGCGGCUUAACCGCGGAAGGUCAUUGGAAACUGGGGGACUUGAGGCUAGGAGAGGGAAGCGGAAUUCCUGGUGUAGCGGUGAAAAGCGUAGAGAUCAGGAGGAAUACCGAUGGCGAAAGCAACUUCCUGCUUAGAACUGACGCUGAGGCGCGAAAGCGUGGGGAGCAAACAGGAUUAGAUA